AUUGAACGCUGGCGGGAGGCCUAACACAUGCAAGUCGAACGAGUGGCGGACCUGUGAGUAGUGUCUGGGAAACUUCCUGAUGGUGGGAGCUAACUCCUUGCAACUGUACCUCAUCCCGCAUCCCAUCGGAUGUGCCCUGAUGGGAUUGGCUCGUAGGUGUGGGAAAGGCUAACCUAGGCGACGAUCCCUAGCUGGUCUGAGAGGAUGACCAGCCACACGGGGACGGUGAGAAGGUGCGGACACGUAAGGGAGGGAGCGGUGGGGAAUAUGACAGAAUGGGGGCAAGGGUGAGGCAGCCAUGCCGCGUGGAUGAAGAAGGCCUAAGGGGGGUAAAGUACUGUCAGCGGGGAGGCGGUACCCGCAGAAGAAGCACCGGCUAACUCCGUGCCAGCAGCCGCGGUAAUUC
rnacentral:rRNA from 1 species